CUUGCCCUACGGGGGGCAGCAGUGGGGAAUAUUGCACAAUGGGGGAAACCCUGAUGCAGCGACGCCGCGUGAGUGAAGAAGUAUCUCGGUACGUAAAGCUCUAUCAGCAGGGAAGAAAAUGACGGUACCUGACUAAGAAGCCCCGGCUAACUACGUGCCAGCAGCCGCGGUAAUACGUAGGGGGCAAGCGUUAUCCGGAUUUACUGGGUGUAAAGGGAGCGUAGACGGCGAAGAAAGUCUGAAGUGAAAGCCCGCGGCUCAACCGCGGAAUGGCUUUGGAAACUUUUUUGCUGGAGUACCGGAGG
rnacentral:rRNA from 1 species